GAGUUUGAUCGUGGCUCAGAGCGAACGCUGGCGGCAUGCUUAACACAUGCAAGUCGCACGGGCAGGUUUCGGCCUGUCAGUGGCGGACGGGUGAGUAACGCGUAGGGAUCUAUCUCCGGGUGGGGACAACCGUGGGAAACUACGGCUAAUACCGCAUGACACCUGCGGGUCAAAGGUGCUGGGGCAACCUGGCAUCGCCGGGAGCGGAGCCUGCGUACGAUUAGCUGGUUGGUGGGGUAAAGGCCUACCAAGGCGACGAUCGUUAGCUGGUCUGAGAGGAUGAGUCAGCCACAUUGGGACUCGAGACACGGCCCAAACUCCUACGGGAGGCAGCAGUGGGGAAUAUUGGACAAUGGGCGCGAGCCUGAUCCAGCAAUGCCGCGUGUGUGAAGAAGGUCUUC
rnacentral:rRNA from 1 species